CACAACAUCCCAUGUAAUACAUAAUAAAAGGAGGAGAUACAUAGUUGGCUUACACUCGCCACGUCACAUCAGAGUACAUAAAUAACAUCCAUCAAACAAUCACUCAUGGCCCGACUACGGCGCCAAAAUGGAAAAGAACCCAACAUGCGACAAGGCCCUGAAUCAAACCCCAACUAGGCACCACUACUGAUCAUCGGGAAAGGAAACAUAAUAACGCUGAGAGUCCUCGUCGAACUCCCACUUGAGCUCGUACUCGUCACCUGGAGUGGAAUCACCUGGACCUGCAUCUGGAAUUAUAGUAUCUGUGAGCCACAGGGACUCAGCAAUCUCGCACCCUCACGAUCAAAACUAUUUAAGCUUAUAGGAAUGGAUGAGGCAAAUAUAUGUGGAGCUGCAGCAAGCGACUAGCAUAUGUGGUGGCUAACUUAUCCGCAAAAGAGAGCGAGAAAAGGAGGCAAGGCGCGAGCGAGAAGCUAUAAGAACAACCUGCGCGAGCAUAACUCCAAUACCGUGUCCACUUCCCGGACUCCGCCGAGAAGAGGCCAUCACGGCAACACACUCAGUUGAUUCAUUUUAAUUAAUUAAGGUUUAAGUUAUCUACAACCGGACAUUAACAAAUUCCCAUAUGCCCAUAACCGCGGGCACGGCUUUCGAAAGUUCAAUCCCUGCAGGGGAGUCCCAACUUAGCCCAUGACAAGCUCUCGCGGUCAACGAAGGAAUAGACCUCCACCCGAGACACACCGAUCAGACUCGGUAACUCGGUACAACAAGACAAUUCGACAGGUUAAAACAAGACCAGCAACACCGCCCGAAUGUGCCGCCAAAUCCCGAUAGGAGCUGCACAUAUCUCUUUCUCAGGGCACACUCAGAUGAGCGCUCCAUACAACUAAAACCAAACCUCGAGUUUCCCCGAGGGGGCGCUGCACAGGACUCUAGUUUGGACCAACACUCAGAGGAGCACUGGCCCGUGGGGGUUAAAAUAAGAUGACCCUUGAGUCUGCAGAACCCAAGGGAAAGGAAAAGGCUAGGUGGCAAACGGUAAGACCAAUGUUGGGCAUUGCUGGAAAAGCUUUAAACAAGGCGAACUAUCAAGGGGUUCCCAUUAUAACCCAACCGCGUAAGGAACGCAAAUCCGGGAACAUAACACCGAUAUGAUGGAAAGUAGGGCGGCAAGAGUGGAACAAAACACUAGGCGAGGGGCCGAGCCUUCCACCCUUUACCAAGUAUAUAGAUGCAUUAAGAUAACAUGGCAAUAUAAUGAUAUCCCAACAAGUAAAUAAAUGUUCCAACAAGGAACGGCUCCAAUCUUCACCUGCAACUAACAACGCUAUAAGAAGGGCUGAGCAAAGCGGUAACAUAGCCAAUCAACGGUUUGCUAGGACAAUGGUAGGUUAGAGGUUCAAUCAUGCAAUUGGGGGGCUGACAAGCAAGUGGUAGGCAUCGUAGCAGUGGCAAAGCAAAGAGCGAGCAAACUAGCAUAGCAAAGAUAGUAGUGAUUUCGAGGGUAUGAUCAUCUUGCCUGCAAAGCUGUCAGAGUUGACUGGAUCCUCAAAAGCACACUCAACGGGCUCCUCGUUAGCAAACUCGUCUCCCGGCUCUACCCAACAACACAAACAAGCAACAAGAAUACAAUCAAUCACGUGCAAGGGCAACAAUAAUAUGCAAAGACGGUAUGCUAUGCGGGAUGCGAUGCGGGAUGCAAAAUGCAAGACGUUACAGAAAAUGCAUGAACCUGGCCUCAACUUGGAAAACAAAGUGUGCCACUGGAUAGAGGGGAUGAAAUCGCUUGAAAACGAUAUAAGGAUCAUAGGAAUCGGAGCUACGGUUUGGAAAUGGCGAGCGUUUUACGAAACGAACCGAUCUGCGAUUUACAGCAAGUAGGCUCCUAAAUGCAACGAAAUGAGCAUGCUACAGCCACCAAACAUGAAAACAAAAUACAUGGCAGUGAUGUACACAAGAUGGUUAACAAAACACUAGCACUGAGCCAUAGGAAAAUUCAUCCAUUAAGAGGUUCAAACAAGCAUGGCAAAAAUGAAUAUGCAAAACAGAUUCCAGACUUAGUGAAAUUGACACUAGCCUGAAAUUUCAGAUCACGAAGCCCUCUUCGGAGCAGCAAAACAACAUGAUACAUGACCUGAACAUGACAAGUAAGAACAUGGCAUGGAGCUACUCAACAAGCUUAACAAAAGACCCAAAGUGACCUGGGGCCAAAAGGGUUCACAAAAUAUAUUAACGGGCACACGAACAUAGCUCGAACACAAUCAGUUUUCAGACUUAGUGAAAACUGAGACAUGCUGAAAUAUAACUCACGAAGGCAUGUAAAUGAUCUCGAUGCACUCACCACGGUGCAAGUCAUGGCAAGGCAGGUAUACACCCAUUAAGAAGGCACAAAAUACAAGCAAGACAUGGCAAGAACAAUGGCAUAGCUUACACGGAUCAACUACAACAACGCCGGCAAAAUCGCAAACGAGUUGACGAUCUGCCCAGAUUCACCAUGAAGCAAAAGUUGAGCUCGAUUGAGUCAACCUAGAGCCCUCCACAUAUGCAAACAAAGACAGGGAUGGAUAGAGCAUAACAUAAAUAUCAAAACUCCCUUACUGAUCAUCCUCAAAAGAGGCACGUAUCACUAGAAAACAAGCUGGACAUAUAGCAUCAUGAACUAAAAUAUCCCAGACUUAGUGAAAAUCACUAAGUCCCUGAAAUCAGCAAUCUCAGGUACCUCUCUUCGCAAGCUUGCACAAGAUAACACACACAUCCUAAAAAUGCAUGGGUGGCAUCUCUGGAAAGAAGACAAAAUGCUUAACAAUUCAUCCCAAAGGGGCACAGGUAUAUAAUGCACGAAUUAAACAUGGCAAAAAUGACAAAAGUGCAUGAUGAACUAACGGAUCUGCAAUUUAACUCACGAAGCCUCCUUCUAACAGCAUUUUGGACAACAAGAUGACCUUAAAUGCAAAUCAUGGAAUGGAAUGAAAUGAUGAACAUGUCGAGGCGAAGAUUUUGAUAUAUCAUACGCCCAAAUCGGAGUUACGGUUGCAGAGUUACGAGGCCUCGAACAGGGCAUCAUGGAUCUGAGAUCUGGGGACUUAGACGGAUUUUUUAC
rnacentral:lncRNA from 1 species